rnacentral:rRNA from 1 species
AGGAUUAGAUACCCUGGUAGUCCAUGCCGUAAACGUUGGGCGCUAGAUGUAGGGACCUUUCCACGGUUUCUGUGUCGUAGCUAACGCAUUAAGCGCCCCGCCUGGGGAGUACGGCCGCAAGGCUAAAACUCAAAGGAAUUGACGGGGGCCCGCACAAGCGGCGGAGCAUGCGGAUUAAUUCGAUGCAACGCGAAGAACCUUACCAAGGCUUGACAUACACCGGAAACGGCCAGAGAUGGUCGCCCCCUUGUGGUCGGUGUACAGGUGGUGCAUGGUUGUCGUCAGCUCGUGUCGUGAGAUGUUGGGUUAAGUCCCGCAACGAGCGCAACCCUCGUUCUAUGUUGCCAGCGGGUUAUGCCGGGGACUCAUAGGAGACUGCCGGGGUCAACUCGGAGGAAGGUGGGGAUGACGUCAAAUCAUCAUGCCCCUUAUGUCUUGGGCUUCACGCAUGCUACAAUGGCCGGUACAAAGGGCUGCGAUACCGUAAGGUGGAGCGAAUCCCAAAAAGCCGGUCUCAGUUCGGAUUGAGGUCUGCAACUCGACCUCAUGAAGUCGGAGUCGCUAGUAAUCGCAGAUCAGCAACGCUGCGGUGAAUACGUUCCCGGGCCUUGUACACACCGCCCGUCAAGUCAUGAAAGUCGGUAACACCCGAAGCCGGUGGCCUAACCCUUGUGGAAGGAGCCGUCGAAGNNUGGGAUCGGUGAUUANGANNAAAUCNUANCNNGGU